rnacentral:rRNA from 1 species
UACGUAGGGUGCAAGCGUUAAUCGGAAUUAUUGGGCGUAAAGGGUGCGUAGGCGGUUGUUUAAGUCUGUCGUGAAAUCCCCGGGCUCAACCUGGGAAUGGCGAUGGAUACUGGACAGCUAGAGUGUGUCAGAGGAUGGUGGAAUUCCCGGUGUAGCGGUGAAAUGCGUAGAGAUCGGGAGGAACAUCAGUGGCGAAGGCGGCCAUCUGGGACAACACUGACGCUGAAGCACGAAAGCGUGGGGAGCAAACAGG